ACGAACGCUGGCGGCAGGCUUAACACAUGCAAGUCGAGCGCCCCGCAAGGGGAGCGGCAGACGGGUGAGUAACGCGUGGGAAUCUACCCAUCCCUACGGAACAACUCCGGGAAACUGGAGCUAAUACCGUAUACGCCCUUCGGGGGAAAGAUUUAUCGGGGAUGGAUGAGCCCGCGUUGGAUUAGCUAGUUGGUGGGGUAAUGGCCUACCAAGGCGACGAUCCAUAGCUGGUCUGAGAGGAUGAUCAGCCACACUGGGACUGAGACACGGCCCAGACUCCUACGGGAGGCAGCAGUGGGGAAUAUUGGACAAUGGGCGAAAGCCUGAUCCAGCCAUGCCGCGUGAGUGAUGAAGGCCCUAGGGUUGUAAAGCUCUUUCACCGGUGAAGAUAAUGACGGUAACCUGAGAAGAAGCCCCGGCUAACUUCGU
rnacentral:rRNA from 1 species